AGUAGUUUGAUCAUGGCUCGAGGACGAACGCUGGCGGCGUGCUUAACACAUGCAAGUCGAACGGGCACUUCGGUGCUAGUGGCGAACGGGUGAGUAAAGCGCAGGUAAUCUGCCGCAAAGUCGGGGACAACGUCCCGAAAGGGACGCUAAUACCGGAUGUUGUGCGGAGUUCGCAUGGAUUCUGCAUUAAAGAUUUAUCGCUUUGCGAGGAGCCUGCGUCCGAUUAGGUAGUUGGUAGUGUAAGAGACUACCAAGCCGACGAUCGGUAGCCGGUCUGAGAGGAUGAACGGCCACAAUGGAACUGAGACACGGUCCAUACUCC
rnacentral:rRNA from 1 species